rnacentral:miRNA from 1 species
AACCGGGUUGGUGGGAGGCAUG